CUUUCGGAGAGUUUGAUCCUGGCUCAGGACGAACGCUGGCGGCGUGCCUAAUACAUGCAAGUCGAGCGGACUGAUGGGAGCUUGCUCCCUGAUGUCAGCGGCGGACGGGUGAGUAACACGUGGGUAACCUACCUGUAAGAUUGGGAUAACUCCGGGAAACCGGGGCUAAUACCGGAUAGUUCUUUUCCUCGCAUGAGGAAAAGUGGAAAGGUGGCUUUUAGCUACCACUUACAGAUGGACCCGCGGCGCAUUAGCUAGUUGGUGAGGUAACGGCUCACCAAGGCAACGAUGCGUAGCCGACCU
rnacentral:ncRNA from 1 species